rnacentral:rRNA from 1 species
CCUACGGGCGGCAGCAGUGAGGAAUAUUGGUCAAUGGGCGGGAGCCUGAACCAGCCAAGCCGCGUGAGGGAAGAAGGUACAGCGUAUCGUAAACCUCUUUUGUCAGGGAACAAAGGCGGGGACUAGUCCCCGGAUGAGGGUACCUGAAGAAAAAGCAUAGGCUAACUCCGUGCCAGCAGCCGCGGUAAUACGGGGGAUGCGAGCGUUAUCCGGAUUUAUUGGGUUGAAAGGGUGCGCAGGCGGCCUGUUAAGUCAGCGGGAAAAGCCCGGGGCUCAACCCCGGCGAGCCGUUGAAACUGGCGGGCUGGAGUUGGAGAGAAGUACGCGGAAUGCGCGGUGUAGCGGUGAAAUGCUUAGAUAUCGCGCAGAACCCCGAUUGCGAAGGCAGCGUACCGGCUCCACACUGACGCUGAGGCACGAAAGCGUGGGUAUCGAACAGGAUUAGAUACCCUGGUAGUC